rnacentral:misc_RNA from 1 species
GAGAGAGAGAGAGAGAGAGUAGAAUGAACGGUGGCGAUGAGGUCGCUGCAGCUCCAGUGGGCCCACCACAGCCUUUGGAGUGGAAAUUCUCCCAGGUAUUCGGUGAGCGAACCGCCGGCGAAGAAGUACAAGAAGUUGAUAUUAUUUCAGCUAUUGAAUUUGAUAAAACUGGUGAUCAUCUUGCUACUGGUGACCGUGGGGGCCGGGUAGUUCUAUUUGAGAGGACAGACACAAAGGAUCAUGGUGGAUACAGAAGGGAUCUGGAAAGAAUGGAUUGUCCUAUUAGUAGGCAUCCUGAGUUUCGUUAUAAAACAGAGUUUCAGAGCCAUGAACCUGAGUUUGACUAUCUCAAGAGCUUGGAAAUAGAGGAAAAAAUAAACAAAAUCAGAUGGUGUCAAACAGCCAAUGGUGCUCUUUUUCUCCUAUCCACUAAUGAUAAAACCAUUAAGUUUUGGAAGGUCCAAGAAAAGAAGGUUAAGAAAAUUUCUGACAUGAAUGUGGACCCUUCAAAAGCUGUAGGAAAUGGUAGUGUUGCUAGUUCAAGUAACUCAAAUGGUACUAAAUCUUAUCUUGCAAAUGGAGGUUGGCCAGAGAAGUCAUAUGGUUACCCAAGCAAUGACUUCACUUUUCCAUCUGGGGGCAUCCCAUCACUGCACUUGCCUGUGGUAGUAACUAGCAACGAGACCAGCCUGGUGGCCAGAUGUCGAAGGGUAUAUGCUCAUGCACAUGAUUAUCACAUCAAUUCAAUUUCAAAUAACAGUGAUGGCGAAACAUUUAUAUCAGCUGAUGACCUGCGAAUCAAUCUUUGGAACUUGGAAAUUAGCAAUCAAAGUUUUAACAUUGUUGAUGUGAAACCUACAAAUAUGGAGGAUCUAACGGAGGUUAUAACAUCUGCAGAAUUC